UCAUCCUUCUUCUUGUGAUGAAGGGAGGUGAUAAAAUGCCUACAUGAUGACAUGAAGUGAGGUGAGUGACGGAGGCAUUGUGAUGUAAUAUUGGGUCACUACUAACCUCACAACAGGCCAGAAGGAGGACCCUCUACUUCUGGGCCAGGGCUGACCACAGCCUGCAAUCCCAUGAAGAUCAAAGCCAGUUUGCUAUUCUGCAUUAACAUUUCUGUGAUCAGAUAUAACGUGAGCACCUCGAUUCUAUCUGUGUCAAGAUAUCUUCACACAAGUGACUCAUCUGGUAAGAGCUCGGGCACUGAACACUGCUCUGACAACCAUCUCCUUUGAGGUUGAUUCCACGUUGGUGGUGUUACAAGCCAACGUCCUGUUCAGCUGCUUUCCUCUGCAACACAACACUGUAAUUAAAACUGACUAAACAAUAAAUCUCAAUUUCCCUGUUCUAUCAGGAGAAUCUUCCAAUUUACUAGGCUUCGUCUAUUUGCCAGCUCCUCCUCUGCAUUACGAAUCGUUCUUGAACAAGCACACAAGUUAACUACCCACUCUUGCGUUGAACGUGCAGAGAUUCAGUGCCAAUUCUGUCAUUAGACAGCCUAGAUCUGCUCCUUGGGGACCUGAGAGGAAACUGGGUGUUAUGCCUGAGUUAAAUAUGUGAAGAGGCUAUCCCCCUCCUCACGCAGGCCCUGUCAGCUCCAGAAAGCACAAACUCAACGGGCUGCCCUUGCAAGGAACAGGCAUCUCUUUGUCCUCCUAAAUACCUCUUGCCGUGACCAAGUUCCAGUUUCCAGAACCCGAAACACCUUUGCCCAAUGAAAACCUUCCUGAACUUUUUACCCAACAACUCACAGACCAUGAAUGGCAUUCCCUCAGGCUCCAAGACAAUCAAGUUAGGGAGACGAUGUAGAAAAAGAACGUGGUAAAAAGAGAUCCAACAAGCUCCCUGAGGCUCAAAAGAAGACACUUUGCCAAAAGAUACACGGACACCAACUAAGGUUUAACGAACUGCUUUCCCUGAUAUCUCAUUUAAUACACCACCUCAUGAAUUGGGCAGCACAGCUACCUCUGCCUCUCUUCUAGAAAUACGGGAUGCUCGUUCAGACAACUUUCUCGCCACAAUCUACUGUGCCUCACCACUCCUAACCGACAGUCUUACCAGUCAGCUUGCCAGUAACUUGAAGCCUGCAAGUGUAACGGGCCAGCAAUUUGUGCUUUUCAAAGAUUCCAACUGCCAAAAAUAAAUGAGAGCUUAGGACACAGCCACCAUGCUUAAUACCCCAAGACUUGUUUUGUUUGUUUUAUUUUUCAAAGGCUGUGGCUUUGCUGGCUCCUGCUUUAUAUGAUUUCUUAUUAUGCUCUAUGUUGAAUUAUACUUUUAAAUUUUUGGACAAAUCACUGUAACACAGAAGUCUUGUUCAAUUUAACAAGCUGUGGAGAGUGGCAAAUGGGGGCAGGAGGGUUCUCUUGAUGCCAACAAAAUAAGACUGACUUUGAAGUAUCUUGGUCACAUUAACAGCAAAGAGCAUCCUUUUUCUCUUACCAUAAAAGUACCUUGUGAAAAUACUACAGCAUCUGAGACACACACAAAGUUCAGGAAAGCCUCGUGACCAAUGUACUCACUGCUGGUGUAAAUAUAGUGACAGAGAUCACCAACACUACCUUUCCCAACAGUAGACCUUAACAUUUGGUACCGUAUUGGAACGCACACCAAUCCUGAGCCUUCACAUGUCCAUCAACUUCCAAGGUGGGAAUGAUCAACUGGUGAAGGAAAAGAACUGGAAUGGUCAUUAUAAGCCCUAUUUUCUAAAUAUUAGCUCUGCCACUAUGUCUCGGUUGUUCUCAUUUCUACUAAGGACAAUACAUAUGUGGCAGUGCUCUGGAGAAGACACUUCUGGGUAGCCCUAAACUACUGGUUCUUGCAGUGAGUGGGAAAUGCACACGCCAACUAAGAGCCGUGCCUUGGCUCCGAAUACCCCUGCAGUGAGGUCAUAGCGAAGCCAGUCCAAGUGUUUGCUAGAAUAAACAAGAGGCCACAGAUGCGAUCUGAGAUGGCUUCCCUCCCUGGGCAAACAACUAGGUGAAUGUGUCAAGAGGAGAAGAUGGUGUAAGAGGUAAAGAACAGGAGUAGCCAGACCUCAAAUGUAGAUAAUUUUUGCAUGUGUUCUCACCGACUUCUUUCGGCAUCCAUCUCAACAGAACUUAAGUACGUUUCUAUGAGGUUAUAAACUGCACCGUUUCCCCCAUUUAGGUACCUGCCCCAAAUCACCAGGAAGAGAUAGAGAAUGUGAUAAAGGACUUACACAUUCCGGUUUCUAGUCUGGAUUAUAUCCACCAUAAAAUGUCUCCUCAUUGUCUAGAGAAGUUACUUGACAUGAACUGCAAUGUACAAAAAUUUGAUUUCAUUGUGAAGAAAUCCUUUCUUUUAGGGGGCUAACUCUUUUCUGGGAACUAUUUCAGGGUACCACUGUAUAGCAGACAGAAGCAUGGGCAUUGGAACCAGAGAGCCACAGUUGUAAUCAGCACUGAGUUAUGAGAUAUAUGGCUUUGGGAAAUUUACUUACCCUCCGCAAACCUCAGUUUCCUCAUCUGUUCAACAGGGAUAUAGAGAGUAUCACCUCCCAAGCUUAGACAUUAAAUAAGACAAUGUAUGCAAAACGUUUAGCAGAGAUCCUGACAAAUGGUAAGAACUUAGGCAAUACUAAGACUAUUACGUAGUUACCAGGUGUGCACACGUGUGUAUAUGUAAGCGUGUAAGCAUGUACACAGCAUAUGUGUGUAUAUGUGUACCUGUGUGUCCAUGACUGUAUGCAUGUGUGCAUACGUGCAUGUGUGCAUAUAGGUUUGUACCACCCAUACUGCUGUGUAAGUGGAUGUGGGUCUACUUGUGUGCAUACGAGGUAGUGGAGAGAAGUAGGAAAG